UCAUCUGAUCGACGUUUCGACCCUACAGGGUCUUCCUCAAGAUCUUGAGGAAGACCCUGUAGGGUCGAAGAUCUUGAGCAAGAUCUUGAGGAAGACCCUGUAGGGUCGAAACGUCGAUCAGAUGAUGUAAUC